rnacentral:rRNA from 1 species
GCGUAAUCAACCUGCCCUUCAGAGGGGGACAACAGUUGGAAACGACUGCUAAUACCGCAUACGAUCCAAUCUCGGCAUCGAGACUGGAUGAAAGGUGGCCUCUAUUUAUAAGCUAUCACUGAAGGAGGGGAUUGCGUCUGAUUAGCUAGUUGGAGGGGUAAAGGCCCACCAAGGCGACGAUCAGUAGCCGGCCUGAGAGGGUGAACGGCCACAUUGGGACUGAGACACGGCCCAAACUCCUACGGGAGGCAGCAUG